UUUAUGGAGAGUUUGAUCCUGGCUCAGGAUGAACGCUGGCGGCGUGCCUAAUACAUGCAAGUCGAGCGAACGGACGAGAAGCUUGCUUCUCUGAUGUUAGCGGCGGACGGGUGAGUAACACGUGGAUAACCUACCUAUAAGACUGGGAUAACUUCGGGAAACCGGAGCUAAUACCGGAUAAUAUUUUGAACCGCAUGGUUCAAAAGUGAAAGACGGUCUUGCUGUCACUUAUAGAUGGAUCCGCGCUGCAUUAGCUAGUUGGUAAGGUAACGGCUUACCAAGGCAACGAUGCAUAGCCGACCUGAGAGGGUGAUCGGCCACACUGGAACUGAGACACGGUCCAGACUCCUACGGGAGGCAGCAGUAGGGAAUCUUCCGCAAUGGGCGAAAGCCUGACGGAGCAACGCCGCGUGAGUGAUGAAGGUCUUCGGAUCGUAAAACUCUGUUAUUAGGGAAGAACAUAUGUGUAAGUAACUGUGCACAUCUUGACGGUACCUAAUCAGAAAGCCACGGCUAACUACGUGCCAGCAGCCGCGGUAAUACGUAGGUGGCAAGCGUUAUCCGGAAUUAUUGGGCGUAAAGCGCGCGUAGGCGGUUUUUUAAGUCUGAUGUGAAAGCCCACGGCUCAACCGUGGAGGGUCAUUGGAAACUGGAAAACUUGAGUGCAGAAGAGGAAAGUGGAAUUCCAUGUGUAGCGGUGAAAUGCGCAGAGAUAUGGAGGAACACCAGUGGCGAAGGCGACUUUCUGGUCUGUAACUGACGCUGAUGUGCGAAAGCGUGGGGAUCAAACAGGA
rnacentral:rRNA from 1 species